rnacentral:rRNA from 1 species
AUUGAGCGCUGGCGGCAGGCCUAACACAUGCAAGUCGAACGGUAACAGGAAGCAGCUUGCUGCUUUGCUGACGAGUGGCGGACGGGUGAGUAAUGUCUGGGAAACUGCCCGAUGGAGGGGGAUAACUACUGGAAACGGUAGCUAAUACCGCAUAACGUCGCAAGACCAAAGAGGGGGACCUUAGGGCCUCUUGCCAUCGGAUGUGCCCAGAUGGGAUUAGCUAGUAGGUGGGGUAACGGCUCACCUAGGCGACGAUCCCUAGCUGGUCUGAGAGGAUGACCAGCCACACUGGAACUGAGACACGGUCCAGACGCCUACGGGAGGCAGCAGUGGGGAAUAUUGCACAAUGGGCGCAAGCCUGAUGCAGCCAUGCCGCGUGUAUGAAGAAGGCCUGCGGGUGGUAAAGUACUUUCAGCGGGGAGGAAGGGAGUAAAGUUAAUACCUUUGCUCAUGGAGGUAACCCGCAGAAGAAGCACCGGCAAACUCCGU